UUUGAAGACAGAAAGUGAGCUGUCACACUCCACAGUACCAGCACCCUUCAUAUAUAUUGGAAACCGUCUUGAGUGAUUAAUUUCAAGCACCUUGGAUCAGCGAGAUGCCACAGAAGAAUCAGAUUCAAAAUAAGACAUUAACUGCGAAAUCCAAAAUGGCUGCGCUUACCCUAUUGAUAAAAACAGGCUUCUAUGGCUUGCAGUUGAACGUGUCAUCUUGAUGCAGAAAUUCACUAAAAACUAGGAAGAAAUCAUAAAAGAUUGAUAAAAAGGACUUUAACCACUGGGCAUGCCAAUACUGAAUAGCAAUGAGAUUUUAGUAAAGAAGAUGGAAGCUCCGGUCUACAAAAGGAAAGCAAACAGGCCAAGAAGAAAGAAGUCAAUUGCUUUCAGUGGUAUCAUAAGGUUGGAACACAGCAUUGAAGUUCAGAGUUUCAAAGGUAAGCAAAAGCUAAGGGGUCUAGGUUCUGAAGAAAAGAGAACAAGGGUAUAGCUCAAUAUUUUGUACCACUAACCUUCUCAAGGCAUUUUCAUAUUCUUUAUUUCCAUGAACUAAGAGGCCAGGAAGGCACAUAGAAAUCUGAAGCUGAAUCAUAAAUACUAAGGGGAAUCUUUGGUUGUCUUAAUGGUAUUUGGGUUUUAAAAGGUGGCAUAAAGGGCAUGCCUAGUAUGAAUAGCUGUAGUACAUAUAUGAGGUUUGCAGCUGAUUCCCUAGAGAACUAUGUAUUACCAAUAAAAACAAACCAUAAAUAGGCCAGUCACUAUGAACUCUGACUGCCGGUACACCUAUUAUAAUUGCCAGAUGAAAAUGAAAUCCUUUCUGGGGGAAAGAUAAAACUACAUCUCUAAAAUGAUUCAUAUACAGAGAAUACCAUUCCAUAUAAAGUUACCAGACACAUCUAAAUACAGUACUAAUGUAAAACCAACAUAAAAAAAAAUUCAACAAAAAUAGACCUACAUAUGGUCAAUACUGUGGUUUUAUGAAAAACGCUGAAAUAAAUGCAACUAACUGUCCCUAACAAGAUGAAACUUUCAUAGGAG
rnacentral:lncRNA from 9 species